AUUGAACGCUGGCGGCAGGCCUAACACAUGCAAGUCGAACGAGUGGCGGACGGGUGAGUAAUGUCUGGGAAACUGCCCGAUGGAGGGGGAUAACUACUGGAAACGGUAGCUAAUACCGCAUACCAUCGGAUGUGCCCAGAUGGGAUUAGCUAGUAGGUGGGGUAACGGCUCACCUAGGCGAGGAUCCCUAGCUGGUCUGAGAGGAGGACCACCCACAGUGUAACUUAGCCACGGUCCAGACCCCUACGGAGGGAAGCGUUGGGAAAUUUUGCCCAAUGGGCGCAAGCCGGAUGCAGACAUGCGGCGUGUAUGAAGAAGCCCUUCGGGUUGUAAAGUACUUUCAGCGAGGAGGCGUUACUCGCAGAAGAAGCACCGGCUAACUCCGUGCCAGCCGCCGCGGUAAUUC
rnacentral:rRNA from 1 species